CCUAUCCCGUUUAAGAGAAGCUCAGCGUUUCCACGAAGAACAUCGACCGUCCAUAAGAGAGCUGGGUGCAAAAAGAAUCCCUGAAUGCGUCAGGAGUCCUUCCUCUGAAACAGCGCCUAGGAGGGCUACGCAGGUGCAGGAUCACACUUUGGUGGCGUGAAGAAUAGACUGAAGGAAGGCAAGAGUGGAAGAGCCAAGCCCAGUGGCCCAUACUAUUCCAGCUAUUCAGGAAGCUGAGACAGGAAGAUCAUAAAUUCAAGAUACAUCUAAUGAGAACAUAGAAGACUUACUUUCAUCAUCUGAAUCAAAUCCAAAGAGUGUCUGACAUUUCUUUUGUGCAAGUAUUUGGUGGACACAACAUCAUUGUUUGUAUGUGGUGCUGAGGAUCGAACCCGGGCCACACGCAUGCCAGGCGAGCGCGAUACCGCUUGAGCCACAUCCCCAGCCCCUGCUUCUAUUCUUAAGAGGCUGUCUGUGGCCAGGAGUUGGAAGAUAGGCAUUAUUCCAUUUUAAGUUCCCUCUUUAAAGAAUAAAAAUUUAACAAAGAAAAGAACAAAAUAAAGCAGAUCUUUCUGUUUGUUUGUUUACACUUGAUUCCAUUCACUUCUGAAUAAAUUAAAAGACUAAAGAUACCCUAUUUAAAUAGUUUGCUAGAGCUAAGGGCAGAGAACAUUCUUAUCCCCAUUGGAAAAGAUCUACUAUUAUCAGUCAUGACUAUAUUCCAUUUCAGAAUACAAAACAUGAUAAUACUUUUAAAACUACUUAGAAGUUCACAUGUCUCACCACCAUCUCCUUAUUCUCUUCCACUAUUUGCAAUUCCAGUUGACAUGGUCAAUUUUUCAAAUAAAAAUAAAAAUUUAACUAAGAAAAGUAUACUACUCGCCUAGAAGACAAGUGCACUUCUUCCUAGGUCCCCUUCUCUAAGCUAUAUGAAAAUUUUAAUCUAUAAAACAAAAAUGUUCAAAUAUGAUUUGGAACUAUAUGCCUUCAAGAUAUUGUUUUAAAGAACUUAAAAAUUGAAAGCACUUUUUAAAAAUCCUACUUAAAACUUUUAAAUAGUUUUCAAAUGUUUUUUACAAAUUCAUGCUCCAAAACUUAAUUUCAAACGUUGUUUCACUAUAACACAUACCUUGAAAAUUUACACUUGAUCUUAGCCAAAAGGCUGAGAAGCGAUUUCCUUGAAAAUUUAAACAAUGAGUUACAUAUGAUUAUUUUCUUUUUAAGAUAUUUAAUUCUUAUACUGUUGUUCUUUGCACAAAAUUUUUAAAAUAGUUUAAUAUUUUCACACAAUAUUAAAAUAGCUAUGAAGUCCAAACUGCUAAUCAUUUCUCCCUCUGGUACCCAUCUUACCAUUUUAAUUUCUGUAUUAGGAAUACUUACCAUAUACA